GACGAACGCUGGCGGCGUGCCUAAUACAUGCAAGUCGAACGCUUUUUCUUUCACCGGAGCUUGCUCCACCGAAAGAAAAAGAGUGGCGAACGGGUGAGUAACACGUGGGUAACCUGCCCAUCAGAAGGGGAUAACACUUGGAAACAGGAGCUAAUACCGUAUAACACUAUUUUCCGCAUGGAAGAAAGUUGAAAGGCGCUUUUGCGUCACUGAUGGAUGGACCCGCGGUGCAUUAGCUAGUUGGUGAGGUAACGGCUCACCAAGGCAACGAUGCAUAGCCGACCUGCGAGGGUGAUCGGCCACACUGGGACUGAGACACGGCCCAGACUCCUACGGGAGGUAGCAGUAGGGAAUCUUCGGCAAUGGACGAAAGUCUGACCGAGCAACGCCGCGUGAGUGAAGAAGGUUUUCGGAUCGUAAAACUCUGUUGUUAGAGAAGAACAAGGAUGAGAGUAAAACGUUCAUCCCUUGACGGUAUCUAACCAGAAAGCCACGGCUAACUACGUGCCAGCCGCCGCAGUAA
rnacentral:rRNA from 1 species